rnacentral:lncRNA from 11 species
CUCCAUUCUCUGAGAGACAUUUGGAGACCUUUUUUUUUUUUUUUGCAGGAGCAGAUGUAACCCUCCAAUUUCUGCUAGGCAGCUAGUCUUCCACAGUGGUUCACCCCUGCUUUGAUGGUUACCAGGAGUAGAUGGAGCCUUCAGAGCAGGAAAACAGCUACUUUUCUUCCAUGUCUUCUGCCAAAGCAUGUCUUCUGUCAGCAAUCCUCAUCAACGAAUCCCUCCUGUGUUUUCUCCAAGCAGUGAGCAAGAAAAUGAACGAUCCAAAAACAGCUAGGAAGGACUGGAGAAAGAAGUGUAUUCCUGGGCACAUUUGCAUUUGCUGAUGUGCAGAUGGGUGCUUGAAAAAUAUAACUGUGUGUAG